UACCUAGUUGAUCCUGCCAGUAGUCAUAUGCUUGUCUCAAAGAUUAAGCCAUGCAUAUGGCUCAUUAAAUCAGUAUAGUUUGUUUGAUGGUACCUGCUACUCGGAUAACCGUAGUAAUUCUAGAGAUAAUACGUGCAACAAACCCCAACUUUUGGAAGGGACACAUUUAUUAGAUAAAAUGUCAACGCGGGUUGUGCCCGUUGCUUUGAUGAUUCAUGAUACUCGACGGAUCACACGGCCUUUGCGCCGGCGACGCAUCAUUCAAAUUUCUUCCCUAUCAACAUCAUUCGAUGGUAGGAUAGUGUCCUACCAUGGUGGGGACGGGUGACGGGAAUUAGGGUUAGUUUUCGGAGAAGGAGCCUGAGAAACUGCUACCACAUCCAAGGAAGGCAGAAGGCGCGUAAAAUUACCCAAUCCUGACACGAGGAUGUAGUGACAAUAAAUAACAAUAUCGGGCUCUUUGAGUCUGGUAAUUGGAAUGAGUACAAUCUAAAUCCCUUAACGAGGAUCCAUUGGAGGGAAAGUCUAUUGCCAGCAGCUGCGGUAAUUCCAGCUCCAAUAGCGUAUAUUUUAGUUGUUGCAGUUAAAAAGCUCGUAGUUGGAUAUUGUGGGGGUACGACCGGUCCGCCUUGCGGUGUGCACCGUUCGUCUCGCCUCUUUCGUCGGCGAUGCGCUCCUAGCCUUAAUUAGUCGGGUCGUGCCUCCGGCACUGUUACUUUGAAGAAAUUAGAGUGCUCAAAGCAAGCCUACGUCUGUAUACAUUAGCAUGGGAUAACAUCAUAGGAUUCCAGUCCUAUUAUGUUGGACUUCGAGAUCGGAGUAAUGAUUAACAGGGAAAGUCGGGGGUAUUCGUAUUUCAUAGUCAGAGGUGAAAUUCUUGGAUUUGUGAAAGAUGAACAAUUGUGAAAGCAUUUACCAAGGAUGUUUUCAUUAAUCAAGAACGAAAGUUGGGGGCUCGAAGAUGAUCAGAUACCGUCCUAGUCUCAACCAUAAAUGAUGCCGAUCAGGGAUCAACGGAUUUAUGAGAAAUCAAAGUUUUUUGGUUCUGGGGGGAGUAUGGUCACAAGGAUGAAACUUAAAGGAAUUGACGGAAGGGCACCACCAGGAGUGGAGCCUGCGGCUUAAUUUGACUCAACACGGGGAAAAUUACCAGGUCCGAACAUAGUAAAGAUUGAUAGACUAAGAGCUUUUUCUUGAUUCUAUGGGUGGUGGUGCAUGGUCGUUCUUGGUUAAUGGAGCGAUUUGUCUGGUUAAUUCCGUUAAUGAACGAGACCUCAACCUGCUAACUAGCUAUGCGGAGGUAGUCCUUCGUAGAUAGCUUCUUAGAGGGGCUAUGGCCUUCUAGGUCACGGAAUUUUGAGGCAAUAACAAGUUUGUGAUGCCCUUAGAUGUCCAGGGCCGCUUGCACACUACACGGAUGUAUUUAACGAGUCUAUAGCCUUGACCGACGGGUUCCGGUAAUCUUUGAAAUUUCAUCGUGAUGGGGAUAAAUCAUUUCAAUUGUUUGUCUUCAACGAGGAAUUCCUAGUAAGCGCGAGUCAUCAGCUCACAUUGACUACGUCCCUACCCUUUGUACACACCGCCCGUCGCUCCUACUGAUUGAAUGUCCGAUGAAGUGUUCGGAUCGCGGCGACGUGGGCGGUUCGCCGCCAGCGACAUCGCGAGAAGUUCACUAAACCUUAUCAUUUAGAGGAAGGAGAAGCCGUAACAAGGUUUCUGUAGGUGAACUUGCGGAAGGAUCAUUG
rfam:Beta vulgaris subsp. vulgaris 0342.scaffold00833.con0008.1, whole genome shotgun sequence.